AUUGAACGCUGGCGGAAUGCUUUACACAUGCAAGUCGAACGGCAGCACGGGUGCUUGCACCUGGUGGCGAGUGGCGAACGGGUGAGUAAUGCACCGGAACGUAUCCAAUAAUGGGGGAUAACGCACCGAAAGGUGUGCUAAUACCGCAUACGCCCUGAGGGGGAAAGCGGGGGGAUCGUAAGACCUCGCGUUAAUGGAGCGGCCGAUGCCGGAUUAGCUAGUUGGUGAGGUAAAGGCUCACCAAGGCGACGAUCCGUAGCUGGUCUGAGAGGACGACCAGCCACACUGGAACUGAGACACGGUCCAGACUCCUACGGGAGGCAGCAGUGGGGAAUUUUGGACAAUGGGCGCAAGCCUGAUCCAGCCAUUCCGCGUGAGUGAAGAAGGCCUCGGGUUGUAAACUGCUUUUAUACGUGAAGAAUAUGACGGUAACGUAUGAAUAAGGAUACGGCGUAACUACCGUGCCAGCAGCCGCGGUAA
rnacentral:rRNA from 1 species